AUGGAAAAAUCUGGAGUGAAAACAUGGUCUUUAGAGCAGGCAAUGGUACCUGUUGAAGCAUAUAUCUCGAUGGUUACAGGGAGCUCUUCAGAGGAGGAUUCAGAGACAGAUGACCACUCCUAUAUCCCACCUGAGCCAUUUGAAUUGGAGGGGGUGAUGGCAGUAUCUAAGGGAGCAAAAACCUGUUCUUCACAAAAGACAACGCUAUCCGUCGAUGCAGAUAGAACCAUGGUUGUACUGGCCCACAAACUAGCCCCACCACACAUAAUCAAGACUCUUCCAGAUUGCACACUUACACCGUUGGGCAGAGAACCAGCUACAACCCAUCUAACCGCAACCCCAGCGGAUAGUAACCCACUUCUAGUUGACAAAGCACCAUGUCCAUGA
rnacentral:rRNA from 1 species